rnacentral:tRNA from 1 species
GCCCGUAUGGCGCAGUGGUUAACGCAUCCCACUUGUACUCCACUACGUAAUGGGAAGAUCCCUCGUUCGACUCGGGGUGCGGGCA